GGAAAGUUGCAGGAGUGGUUGAACUGGCUCGCCUGGAACGCGAGUAUCCGCCUUGGCGGAUCAAGGGUUCGAAUCCCUUACUUUCCU
rnacentral:tRNA from 1 species